rnacentral:rRNA from 1 species
GCCAGCAGCCGCGGUAAUACGUAGGGUGCAGGCGUUAAUCGGAAUUACUGGGCGUAAAGCGUGCGCAGGCGGUCUGCUAAGAGAGGUGUGAAAUCCCCGGGCUUAACCUGGGAACUGCGCUUCUAACUGGUAGGCUUGAGUGUGGCAGAGGGGGGUGGAAUCCACGUGUAGCAGUGAAAUGCGUAGAGAUGUGGAGGAGCACCGAUGGCGAAGGCAGCCCCCUGGGCUAACACUGACGCUCAUGCACGAAAGCGUGGGGAGCAAACAGGAUUAGAUACCCUGGUAGUCCACGCCCUAAACUAUGUCAACUGGUUGUCGGGGAAGCAAUUCCUUGGUAACGAAGCUAACGCGUGAAGUUGACCGCCUGGGGAGUACGGCCGCAAGGUUAAAACUCAAAGGAAUUGACGGGGACCCGCACAAGCGGUGGAUUAUGUGGAUUAAUUCGAUGCAACGCGAAAAACCUUACCUACCCUUGACAUGCCAGGAAGCCCGCAGAGAUGUGAGUGUGCCCGAGAGGGAACCUGGACGCAAGUGCUGCAUGGCUGUCGUCAGCUCGUGUC